rnacentral:rRNA from 1 species
UACGAAGGGGGCUAGCGUUGUUCGGAAUUAUUGGGCGUAAAGGGUGCGUAGGCGGUCUGAUAAGUCAUCUGUGAAAUCUAUGGGCUCAACCCAUAGUCUGCAGGCGAAACUGUCGGGCUUGAGUAUGGGAGAGGUCAGUGGAAUUGGGGGUGUAGCGGUGGAAUGCGUAGAGAUCCCCAAGAACACCAGUUGCGAAGGCGGCUGACUGGACACAUAUUGACGCUGAGGCUCGAAAGCAUGGGGAGCAAACAGG